rnacentral:rRNA from 1 species
UACGUAGGGUGCAAGCGUUACUCGGAAUUAUUGGGCGUAAAGAGCUCGUAGGCGGUUUGUCGCGUCUGCUGUGAAAACCUAAGGCUCAACCUUGGGCUUGCAGUGGGUACGGGCAGACUAGAGUGCGGUAGGGGUGACUGGAAUUCCUGGUGUAGCGGUGGAAUGCGCAGAUAUCAGGAGGAACACCGAUGGCGAAGGCAGGUCACUGGGCCGCAACUGACGCUGAGGAGCGAAAGCAUGGGGAGCGAACAGG